CUGAUCCAGCCAUGCCGCGUGUGUGAAGAAGGCCUUAUGGUUGUAAAGCACUUUAAGCGAGGAGGAGGCUCUUCUAGUUAAUACCUAGGAUGAGUGGACGUUACUCGCAGAAUAAGCACCGGCUAACUCUGUGCCAGCAGCCGCGGUAAUACAGAGGGUGCGAGCGUUAAUCGGAUUUACUGGGCGUAAAGCGUGCGUAGGCGGCUUUUUAAGUCGGAUGUGAAAUCCCCGAGCUUAACUUGGGAAUUGCAUUCGAUACUGGGAAGCUAGAGUAUGGGAGAGGAUGGUAGAAUUCCAGGUGUAGCGGUGAAAUGCGUAGAGAUCUGGAGGAAUACCGAUGGCGAAGGCAGCCAUCUGGCCUAAUACUGACGCUGAGGUACGAAAGCAUGGGGAGCAAACAGGAUUAGAUACCCUGGUAGUCCAUGCCGUAAACGAUGUCUACUAGCCGUUGGGGCCUUUGAGGCUUUAGUGGCGCAGCUAACGCGAUAAGUAGACCGCCUGGGGAGUACGGUCGCAAGACUAAAACUCAAA
rnacentral:rRNA from 1 species